AGAGUUUGAUCCUGGCUCAGGAUGAACGCUAGCGGCAGGCUUAACACAUGCAAGUCGAGGGGCGAGCAUAAUGGAUAGCAAUAUCUAUGGUGGCGACCGGCGCACGGGCGCGUAACGCGUAUGCAACCUACCUUUAACAGGGGGAGUAACACUGAGAAAUUGGUACUAAUACCCCAUAAUAUCAUAGAAGGCAUCUUUUAUGGUUGAAAAUUCCGAUGGUUAGAGAUGGGCAUGCGUUGUAUUAGCUAGUUGGUGGGGUAACGGCUCACCAAGGCGACGAUACAUAGGGGGACUGAGAGGUUAACCCCCCACACUGGUACUGAGACACGGACCAGACUCCUACGGGAGGCAGCA
rnacentral:rRNA from 1 species